CCAUCACGCUAACACUCAAAAAUGGACUUCACACCAAUGGCCAAACAUCUUGGAGGUUGAAUGAAACCCUGCUAACAAACCCACACAUAGUACAACAGGUCACAACAGAUCUGCAGAACUACUUUGCAGACAAUGACAAGCAGGACACUGUCUGGCUGGCCCACAAAGCAGUUUUAUAAAACACGCCAGCCAUGCCAGAAGAACACACCUGGCACAAUACCUAGCCCUCAUAAACGAGAUCAAAACUAUUACACAUAGGAACAAACACUCGCCCACUCCAGAAACACAACAAAACCUUUUAACCUUACAAACACAGCUACGGGAUAUGGAAUUAGACAAAACCACCUACCUCUUGCAAAAAUCUAAACACAAAUUAUUUAUGGAGAGGGACAACACCGAAGGCCUUCUGCUGGCACUGGAUGCGGAGAAGGCCUUCGAUAGCCUUAACUGGUCAUACAUGACAAAGGUCUUAGAGAAAUAUAGAUUCCCACCUGAACUGAUCAGAGGAAUACAAGCACUAUAUAGCAUGCCGGCAGCCAAAGUCUC